rnacentral:rRNA from 1 species
UGGGAAGUAUUGCGUCAAUGGCAGGAAAGCCAUGACCGCAGCGACGCCGCGUGGGGGGAUGACGGCCUUCGGGUUGUAAACCUCUUUCAGCAGGGACGAAGCGGAAGUGACGGUACCUGCAGAAGAAGCACCGGCCAACUACGUGCCAGCAGCCGCGGUAAUACGUAGGGUGCAAGCGUUGUCCGGAAUUAUUGGGCGUAAAGAGCUCGUAGGCGGUUCGUCGCGUCGGCUGUGAAAACCUGAGGCUCAACCUCAGGCCUGCAGUCGAUACGGGCGGACUUGAGUACUGCAGGGGAGACUGGAAUUCCUGGUGUAGCGGUGAAAUGCGCAGAUAUCA